rnacentral:rRNA from 1 species
UACGUAGGGUGCGAGCGUUGUUCGGAAUUACUGGGCGUAAAGUGUUCGCAGGCGGCCGCGCAAGUCGCGUGUGAAAGCCCCGGGCUUAACUUGGGAAUUGCGCUCGAAACUACGUGGCUGGAGUGUGGCAGAGGAAGGUGGAAUUCCAGGUGUAGCGGUGAAAUGCGUAGAUAUCUGGAGGAACACCGAUGGCGAAGGCAGCCUUCUGGGCCAACACUGACGCUCAGGCACGAAAGCGUGGGGAGCAAACAGG